rnacentral:rRNA from 1 species
UGUAGUCAUAUGCUUGUCUCAAAGAUUAAGCCAUGCAUGUCUAAGUAUAAGCAACUAUACGGCGAAACUGCGAAUGGCUCAUUAUAUAAGUUAUCGUUUAUUUGAUAGCGCCUUACUACAUGGAUAACCGUGGUAAUUCUAGAGCUAAUACAUGCUAAAAACCUCGACUUCGGAAGGGGUGUAUUUAUUAGAUUAAAAGCCAAUGCCCUCCGGGGCUCUCUGGUGAUUCAUGAUAACUUUUCAGAUCGCACGGCCUUGCGCCGGCGACGGUUCAUUCAAAUUUCUUCCCUAUCAACUUUCGACGGUACGGUCUUGGCCUACCGUGGUUGCAACGGGUGACGGAGGGUUAGGGCUCGACCCCGGAGAGGGAGCCUGAGAAACGGCUACCACAUCCAAGGAAGGCAGCAGGCGCGCAAAUUACCCAAUCCCGACUCGGGGAGGUAGUGACAAUAAAUACCGAUACAGGGCUCUUUAGGGUCCUGUAAUUGGAAUGAGUACAAUUUAAAUCCCUUAACGAGGAACAAUUGGAGGGCAAGUCUGGUAAUCG